AUACGGAGGGUGCGAGCGUUAAUCGGAAUUACUGGGCGUAAAGGGUGCGUAGGCGGCUUGAUAAGUCGGAUGUGAAAGCCCCGGGCUUAACCUGGGAAUUGCAUUCGAUACUGUCAGGCUAGAGUAUGUCAGAGGUUGGCGGAAUUCCUGGUGUAGCGGUGAAAUGCGUAGAUAUCAGGAGGAACACCAGUGGCGAAGGCGGCUAACUGGGGCAAUACUGACGCUGAGGCACGAAAGCGCGGGGAGCAAACAGGAUUAGAUACCCUAGUAGUCC
rnacentral:rRNA from 1 species